rnacentral:lncRNA from 1 species
CCAAAGCUAGUAGACCGCAUCAAAACGAAACGCACACAACCGGCCAUGGAGACACGGCACCACGGCACAUGGCGCUGUAUGAUAAUCCUGAGACGUAACCCGCCGGUGGGCACGGGAGGUCAGCCGCAGGGGAAGUCCAGGCAACCCAGACCACAGCACAGGACCAGAUAGCCCGGCAGCCCGCCAAAGGGAGCUCGAGGUCUUGGCUGCUGCACAUGAGGGCCGCACAUGAGGGCCUUAUGAACCACCGGCGAACCCGGGUUUUCUUACGGUGAUACAGGAGCUGAGCAGUAGCAUGCGCCAUGCAGCAUGCCUCGUGCAUGCAAAGAAAGAACAACAUCGCACUACAGAGGAGGUACUAAACGUACCACCACCGAGCAGGAGCGAGACCACCUUCAGCUGCCUCCAUUACGCAUGAGCAGAGAGCAUCAUACAAACCCUUUGGUCCUGUCCAUGCAAUUUCCUGUAAAGCAGGCACACGUCUAAGCCAGACGAGCGCGCAUCCGUAUGAAAAGACGGAGAACGGAGAAGCGAAUUCGCACCGGGAGGUCCAGAGCAGUGGCGGCUGCAGACCGGCACCUUUCGAAAGAUUGCGUUGUGAGCUUGAUUUGACCCCUUACUCUCCCUUGCUCUCCCUUGCUCUCACCGCCGCGCCCUUGCCACGUCCGCUGAACCUCCCACGAAGACGACGAACGCCGGCGUAGCAAAGCAACGGCAAGCACGACUCCGUUUCCGGUUCCGUGUUUUGGACUCCUCAUUCUUCAUUCCCAUGCGGCUACUAAACUAUGCAAACCUCCCGGCCCCGACCGCGAUGCGGUUUCCACUACGUGAGGCCAUGG